AUCUUCCGCAAUGGACGCAAGUCUGACGGAGCAACGCCGCGUGAGUGAAGAAGGCCUUCGGGUCGUAAAACUCUGUUAUCAGGGAAGAAUCCGUGCCGGAGUAACUGCCGGUGCGUUGACGGUACCUGACCAGAAAGCCACGGCUAACUACGUGCCAGCAGCCGCGGUAAUACGUAGGUGGCAAGCGUUGUCCGGAAUUAUUGGGCGUAAAGCGCGCGCAGGCGGCUGCUUAAGUCUGAUGUGAAAGCCCACGGCUCAACCGUGGAGGGUCAUUGGAAACUGGGAGGCUUGAGUGCAGAAGAGAAGAGCGGAAUUCCACGUGUAGCGGUGAAAUGCGUAGAGAUGUGGAGGAACACCAGUGGCUAAGGCGGCUCUUUGGUCUGUAACUGACGCUGAGGCGCGAAAGCGUGGGGAGCGAACAGG
rnacentral:rRNA from 1 species